AUUGAACGCUGGCGGCAGGCUUAACACAUGCAAGUCGAGCGGGGGAAGGUAGCUUGCUACCUGACCUAGCGGCGGACGGGUGAGUAAUGCUUAGGAAUCUGCCUAUUAGUGGGGGACAACAUUCCGAAAGGAAUGCUAAGACCGCAUACGCCCUACGGGGGAAAGCAGGGGAUCUUCGGACCUUGCGCUAAUAGAUGAGCCUAAGUCAGAUUAGCUAGUUGGUGGGGUAAGGGCCUACCAAGGCGACGAUCUGUAGCGGGUCUGAGAGGAUGAUCCGCCACACUGGGACUGAGACACGGCCCAGACUCCUACGGGAGGCAGCAGUGGGGAAUAUUGGACAAUGGGCGAAAGCCUGAUCCAGCCAUGCCGCGUGUGUGAAGAAGGCCUUUUGGUUGUAAAGCACUUUAAGCGAGGAGGAGGCUACCGAGAUUAAUACUCUUGGAUAGUGGACGUUACUCGCAGAAUAAGCACCGGCUAACUCUGUGCCAGCCGCCGCCGUAA
rnacentral:rRNA from 1 species